UACGGGGGGGGGCAAGCGUUGUUCGGAAUUACUGGGCGUAAAGGGCUCGUAGGCGGCCAACUAAGUCGGACGUGAAAUCCCUCGGCUUAACCGGGGAACUGCGUCCGAUACUGGAUGGCUUAAGUUCGGGAGAGGGAUGCGGAAUUCCAGGUGUAGCGGUGAAAUGCGUAGAUAUCUGGAGGAACACCGGUGGCGAAGGCGGCAUCCUGGACCGACACUGACGCUGAGGAGCGAAAGCCAGGGGAGCAAACGGGG
rnacentral:rRNA from 1 species